rnacentral:lncRNA from 1 species
CCACUGUGGAGCGGGCUGCGGGGGGAGCUGGGGAACGCGGGCACCCACAGGCCUCACAGGCCCAUGUUGUCCCCCACCACCUCCCCUGGCCCUCUUGUUACACUUCACAUCCUGAGGCAGCGCUGGUCUGAGCCCGGCCCGCCUUAGUUCUGGCAGUUUUCACAUCACAUAUUUUGAAGCUUUAUUUUUUGGUGAAUACACUUUUAAAAUUGCUGUCUUCUUCAUGGAUUAAACCUUUGAUCAUUAUAUAAUCUCUGGUUUUGGAAGUUUUCUUUGCUUUAUCUGAUAUGCACACAGACACUCUUGCUUUCCUUUCAUUAAUGUUUGUGUAAUAUAUCUUUUUUCAUCCUGUUAAUUUGGCCUGCCCUGUAUUGGUAAAAUUCAAGUGAGUUUCUUGUACACAGCAUACAAGAAACAUACAAGAAAGGGUCAUACUUUUAAAUACACUCUUCUAUUAUCUAUCUCUUGGUAGACCAUUCAUAAUUAAAUGAAUUAUUGAUACUUUAAUGCGUAAGCCUGACAUUUUUUGUUUUCUCUAUCAAUUCUUGUUUCUCUGCUUAUUUUUCAUGACUUCAUGUGGGUUACUUGAACAUUUGUUUUAGAAUUCCAUUUUGUUAUUUAUAGUGUUUAUAGUGUAUCUUCUUUUUUAUAGUUUUUUUGGUUGCAUUUUAUAGCUUAGUGGUUGCAUUUUACAGCUUAGUGUAUAUUCAUUUAUAUAAACAUUAUCACAGUCAAUUGGUAUCAUCUUUAUUCCAGUCUGAGUGAAGUAUAGCAACCUUCUGUCAUAUUAUGUCUCUUUACUCUAUCAAAUUUGUAGUAUAAUUGUCUUACAUCCAUUUAGAAUAACACUAGACAAUGCUAUGAUUUUUGCUUGAAACAUCAAACAUAAUUUAGGAAAUUAGAAUCUAUGAAAAUAAAGUGAGCAUUUUAAAGCUUCCAGAAAGAAAUCUGACACAACCUGUUUUGUCUUUCAUUUUUUCUUUCUUUCCUUUAUAUUCAUCAUAGAUGUUAUGAUGCCCUAUCUGUUAACUCCAAUAUCUGGAUUAUCUAUGAGUUUGUUUUUAAUAACUGAUUUAUUUCUUAUCAGUCUGUUUUACUUGCUUUUUUGUAUAUUUGGUAUUUUUUUUAAAGUAUGCUGAAUUUAUGGAUAAUAUGAUAUAGAACUACUCAAGAAUUUUGAAUUUUUUUUCUGGGCAGAAUUUGUAAUUACUUGCAGAUCAUCUUGCUGCUCUCAAGACCUAGUUUUAAGCUGUGUUAUGGUAAUUAUAUUUUAUUUUCCUCUUAGAACAUAUGCCUCACUCCUGGGAUACUGCACCUCUCCUAAGAGAAUUUUUAGAGUCCCAACUGAGUUUCUCAGUUGUUUGCCAACAUUUCCCCAUUUGGCUGGAUCUGAACUCCAGUAGCUUUCCAGGAAGUUUUCAGUCCCUGAUGAUCUCUUCUGCUUUCUGUAUCCCAGCAGUUUCUUUCUCCAAGGUCUCCCCUCUUCUUAGCCAACUGUCACAUAGCUAAGGAGUCACAGAAGGACCAAAAUGGCAUGUAUACACCCAUUUCUAGGUUCUUUCUCUCUCCCAUAUGGUACAUUGACCCCCAAUUCCUAACCAAUUUAGCAGCUUUGAACUCUAUUCAUUGCUUCUUUUGGUUCCCAAGACCACUAACCCCUGGUUGGGUCCCAUUUUCCUGUACCAAGGUCAGGAAGAUGCCUUUCUGGAAAAUCCUGGCAAAUGUGGUACUAACCUCAUGUGCCUCACCUUCCUUAAAGAUCUCAUACCUGACUUGCUACAACAAUGUUCUUCAAUGCCUGCUGAUAUGGUUUGGCUGUGUCCUUACGCAGAUCCCAUCUUGAAUUGUAGCUUGCAUAAUUCCCACAUGUAGCCAGCCCACCUGAACCAUGCUCAGCAGCUGGUGAGAGGUAAUUGAAUCAUGGGGGUGGGUCUUUCCCAUGCUGUUGUUGUGAUAGUGAAUAAGUCUCAUGAGAUCUGAUGGUUUUACAAAGGGGAGCUCCCCUGCACAUGCCCUCUCUCUUGUCUGCCAUGUAAGAUGUGCCUUUGCUUUUCCUUUGCCUUCUAUCAUGAUUGUGAGUUCUCCCCAGCCAUGUGGAACUGUGAGUUCACUAAACCUCUUUCUUUUAUAAAUUACCCAGUCUUGGGUAUGUCUUUAUUAGCAGCAUGAGAACAGACUAAUACACCUGCCAAGAAUUUUUUCUAUAUUUUGGCCAGAUUGUAUAGUUUUUUAUGGUGGGAGGGUGAAUCUGACACAAGCUAUUUGGUGUCAAGUAGCCAAGUCACAUACUAAUUUAUUUUUAAUGUAAAGCUAUACAACCUUCUUUCUAUACCUAAAUUUUUAAUUAAAAUAUAAUAAUUAAAAUAUUACUAAAAAUUUCUUAAUGAUUUUAUUUCAUGGUGAAAGAGACUCAGUCUGGAAUGUAAAGUAUGUCUUACCAGUAUUUCUCGUUUUGCAGGACAUUGUCUAGGUGUCCCUCUCCCAUGGAUGAUCAUUAGUGUGGUUUAUUUUUAUGCUUUGAGAAAAUAAGUCUGUAGUAUGUUACUAUAUUCUACUAUAUAAAGAUACACUUCAACUUAUGAUAGGAUUAUGUUCCAAUGAACCCAUCAUAAGUUGGUAAUAUUAUAAGUUGAUGAUGCUUUUUUUAAAAAAAUAUAGACUAUUGUCCUGUUGCCCAGGCUGGAGUGCAGUGGCUAUUCUCAGGUGUAGUCAUAGUACACUAUAUUCUCAAAGUCUUUGAGCUCAAACAAUCCUCCUGCCUCAGCUUCCUGAAGAGCUGGGACUGACUAUAGGCACACACCACUAUACCUGGCUUGAAGAUAUGUUUAAUAAACCUAACCUACCAAACAUCAUAGCUUAGCCUAG